ensembl:snoRNA
AAAUACUCAAAUUAAUAAAAUAUCUUCUCUCUGGCCUAUACAGGCCUCUGCUAUGCAGGUGAUGGCCGCUCCUGGUGUCUGAGUGAUU